AAACCAAUCUAAACCCUGUAAAUACUUGAAACAAAAAAACUACUUAGAACUCAUAUAAAUUGUCAUAUGAUCUUGUUGUCUCAUAUCGACGUAGAACAAGAUCAACUCUUUUAGCCAAAGCAUAAUAUGGGAGUUUCAAACAUGAAGUCAUUGAUCAUCUGCCUGUUUUUAAUUAGCAUGGUGAUGAAUAGGCCUGGCAAUUUAGCCCAUGACCCGUUAACCGCCCAUUAACCGCCCGCUAAAAACCCAUUUAUUUCCACCCAAUAACUUAACGUGUUAAUGGGCUACCAACCCGUUAACAACCCGUUAGUUAACGGGCGGAAACGGUUUGCACGACGGAACCCAUGGAGCCCAAUUAGAAAAAAAAAAAAACAGUCUAACAGUCUAACCCUCACUUCUCUCGCUGACACUCUCCUCUUCUCCAUUUUAGCUGCUCGAACCCUCUAGGCCUCUACAGUCUACCCAUCUCUACGCCGCCGGCCGCCGCUGCCAAAGAGUUCGCCGACGGAACCCUCUACAGUCUACCCAUUUCUCUUCUUUCACUUCUCGCAACUCUUCAUUUUCAGCUUGUUCUGUUCUCGCCGACGGGCUCCAUGGGGCAAAGGAGCUAGAUAAUCUGUGGAGAUGGUUUGAUUCUGCACUUCUUUAUGGGUUUCUGUUUCAAUAUUGUGUGGAACAUUUUGACCCUUCUGGGCCCAAUUGAAGUACCUGAGUGUGAGCUCUGGGUCAGCUCCAGAAUCGAUUAGUUGGUGAAGAACUGUGAUAAAGGUUGAGUCUUUGAGAUGGGUUUUGAGCUCUGACCAGUGUUGCUUUGCUAUGAGGUCUGAAACUAAUGGAAGAUUGAAGGACUGUGAGCUUGGAUUUUCGGAGAUGGAGAUUGUGGAACAGAGUUUGAUUAUGUUGAUUUGUGGGUGCUGCUGAAUGUGGGCCCGAGCGUGGAGGCAUGAUGAGGAGGGGGAGAGGAGCUUUAGCAUUUUUGUUUCAUUGAUGGAAAAUCUGAUGCCAAUAUGGUUGCUUUUAUCGUUUAAAUGUCUGAACGUUUCUUGGUUCUUGAAUAUUUUGCUAAUCAUGAGAAUUGUGAGUCUAAUAUGUUUCAAAGAAUGUGAGUAGCUUACAUUGAUAUUAUAAUAUCUAGAAAGUGAAAAAAAAUUAAAAAAAAAAAAAAAAAAAGAGUUUCAAUGGGUAAUGGGUUGGAAAAUAAUUUUAAAAAAAUUAGAAAAGAAUUUUAAAAUGACAAAAAAAAAAAAAAAAAAAACUUAGCGGUCUUAACGGGUUCCAACAGAUAACCCGCGAACCCGUUGGGCUCAACCCGUUAUAACCCGUUAUCUUAACAGGUUAAACCCGUUAAGACCGCCAACCCGUUAAGCCCGCCCGUAACCCGCCCGUGACCGUCCAGUUGCCAGGCCUAGUGAUGAACCAUGGUGUCGCCGCAAAUGUGAUGAUCGUUGCUGAAGAGCCGGAAGACCACUUCUCGGUUGCCAUUUUGCCCCAGAAAAUGGUCUACCAGAACCCAAAAACCCUUAUAAACGGGGCUGCUCGAGUACUCUUCACGACUGUGGGGGCGAAGGAUUUCCCCUCGCUUAAUUAUUAACGAAGGUGGUGAGUUGUGUGGAUCACCAUUGUUGUAAUAAUGAAUCGUUGUUGGCAUUUUUAAGUCUCAGCUUUGUGCCAAAAAUGUAGGUGCUUUGAUAUGUUUGGGUUUAUGCUCUAAUAUUAAGUCAUUCAAGGUGAAAAUAUCUCGAGAACUUUACUAAAAGUCAUUAUAGCUCCUGAAUGAGAAAUGCAAUCAAACGGUUUUAUGUUACGAAGUCAUGUAUUGAAAUCAUUUUCCUUAUUUCCUUUUAGACAACUAAAUGUGUCAUUUUCGUUCUUUAUCACCUUGGCAAGAACCUACUUUUAUGGAGUUUAUAGAGCUCUUGAGUUCAAUUCCUUCUCUUGAGUUCACUUCCUUCCAAGGAAGAACUCAAUUUAUUUGACAAGAUACAGCAGCUCAUUUGAGGUAUUUGUUUGCAUCAAAUAGCUCAAAUGGAAUUUCACUCCUCACAUAUUUUCAGAGAAGGCAAUCAAGUUGCAAAUUUGCAAAUUUUGGUUGUUCUUCUAAUGGUCUAGUUUGGUGGGACUAUGCAACACCUUUUAUUUUUGAUUCCUGCAAUAGAGAUUAUUUGGGUCUUCCCAAUUUCCGUUUUCGUUAGAUGUUGUUUUCUAAAGAGGUUUGGUUUGGUCUCCCUCUUUGCUUCACUUCUUUUUCUUUUUUUUUUUGAAUAAAUUUCUCCGAGGAGGUUCAUCCAAAAAAAAAAAAAAAAAACACUUCGUCCUGAGAAUGAUACAAGUUAAAAGAUACUGAGUAGUAACUUUUCUUACCCAGCUAGGUAAUUUUUCUCCACCACUGAGCAGCAAUUUUUCUUAGCUGGUUGCCUGGUUCACUCUCUUAUUGAUUGGGAUCCAAGCACCUGGAAUCUAGAUCCUAUUCAUCAGAGCAAGCAAUAAGAUUUCAACUCAUUCCAUUGGGUGAUAGAUUUGAAUGUGACAGAUUUAUCACUUCAACAGACAUUUCAAGGCUCUCCCUAAUAACCGUCCCUAUUCUCACCAAGUAGGUUGGACUUGGAAGUUAAUCUGGAGCAUGAAAAACUCUCCUGAAGAUAAAACAAUUUCCUCGGGAGAAAUAUUGCGGUCCUUUCUAAACUUAUUUCGAAGAAAGCUUGCCAAGUCUUCAUUGUGUGCUGUUUGCAACCAGUUUUAAGUAAUUUAUGGAACAUAGUGUAGGGUUCAGGGUUUAGGAAGUAGGAACUCCCUUGGGUUUCAAAGUAGAUAAAGGAAGAAUAUCACACUUGAUAUUUGGGUUGCUACAAAACCUGAGAGAGACAAAGUACCGACCAUCGUUGGUUUCAUUUGUUGGGCAAUCCGGAAGAGCAGAUACAGCUUUGUUUAACAAGGGAAGAAUUUAUCUCCGACUUCCCACCGAGCAUAAUUCUGCCUGUCCCCAAGAAACGGGCUGCCUGGCUUCCAUCGGAUCCUAGCAGAUGGGGCCAUGUUCUUCCCAUGAACACCACCAGCCUUCAUGUUCUCAGAAAUGAUGGCCUUCCAUAUCUGUUUUAUUAUUGCAUUGUUGGUUUUUUCUGCUUUUGGGAGAGUAAUUUUCAAGUCUCAUAAUCUUAGCCCUGAAAUUUACCCCAAAUAGUAGAUGACUAUAAAAUUCUAGUUUGGUGAACAUCACUGGCUUUUGGCAUACAUUUUGUUUCCUGAGAGUUUAUUUGUAUGUUACGGCUCUGAGAUGUUUCUCAGGCUUUGUUUGGUGACCAAGUGAACAUCAAUGGCUUUUGGUAUAGAUUUUGUUUUCUGAGAGUUUAUUUGUAUGUUACGGCUCUGAGAUGUUUCUCAGGCUUUGUUUGGGCGACAAGUCCUUUAUCCAAAAAGGAAAAAAAGCGAGUGAGGUUUGUUUUCUGAGAGUUUAUUUGUAUGUUACGGCUCUGAGAUGUUUCUCAGGCUUUGUUUGGGCGACAAGUCCUUUAUCCAAAAAGGAAAAAAAGCGAGUGAGGAGGAGGAAGAAGAAGAAGAAUAUUACCACAUUAAUAAUAAAGAUUUUACAUUAAUCAAGCUCCAUUGUAGCAACCCAAACAACUUAUGCACAUCAACACCUCAAUACCGGUCUCAACAUGAAUACACAAGGAAAUAGAUAUAAAUGCAGCCCAGAAACAAGUCUAAAACGAGGAGA